UAGCACUUGGCUUUGGAGCCGAGACGCCGGGCUGCCUCCAGAUCUCCAGCCACCUUCUGGUCUCGGGCCUGUGGACCAGCAGCAGGGCCAGGAUCCCCGAGGGUAGGGAGUCCUCACUGAUGCUGGGAGGCUGCCACCACAGGAGCUGAAGCUAGGCAGCUGUGCUAACAGGAGCCCCCGUGUGUGAAAAGCCCCAUUUGAAAGAAAAGAGCUCCUUGGAGAGCCCAGCUGCAUCUGUGUGCUGGCGAAGCACAUGUAUGUCAAGAGCCAGAUUGGAUAUGAAAGUUGGACUAUAAAGAAAGCUGAGUACCAGUGAAUUGAUGCUUUUGAACUGUGAUGUUGGAG